CUAUGCUCUAGAUUAAGGUGAAGGGGGCGGGAAUAAUUGAGGGCAAAGUUGAACGAGGAAGAAUUGGGAGAGCACGAGGGAGAAGAGCGUGCGAUCAUCUGGUGUUAUAUUGUUUCACAAAAUAUAUAGUGUAACUAAUGCUAUAAUGUGUUGCAAUAGUUUAUGUAGUUAAGGUGUUGUCGGAAUGAGAACAAAAACUUAUACUACAGAGACGGUUGGCGAGUCGUCAGCAUGAGGAUUCGUGGCAGUUUCAGAUGAGGAUUACAGAUGACUUGUGAGCUAACGUGAGUGCUCGGAAUUCCUUUGGCCUUAAAGAAAUCGCCGCGAUAGUGGAGUUGACGGACAUCUAACGUCGUGAGGUGAAACACGCUCUUCUGAUUGGAUGGUUCAAGGUAUUUUUAUUUUUUUGUUUGUUGCUCAGUGUUGAGUGAAGCGGUCUUUUGUUUAUUUGUUGACCACAACGUACCCCAGCAUCAAACAGGCCUGCAACGUGAAAAUAACGAACUUUCAUAUUGAUUGAGUUUAAGUGUGAGCUCAUAUUGCCGGCUUAGUAUUUGUUUGAAGAGUUUAUUAAGUUUGAGGACUCACAUUUGAAGUAUAACAACAGAGGGGAACAAAUGUCCAUUUACAACAAGAGUGAAUGUGAAAUGUGUACUUGAUUUUAUUGUUUUAUUCAUUUGUGUGAAUAUGUGAAAUUCACAUUGCUUAUUUAAAUAAUUUAAUUUUACCUUUGGAAAAAAUCCUGGAACGUGAUCAUUUUACAUUUUAUCCAGUAAAUUGUUAUUUACAGUCUACUUGAGUGUUUUCAGUUUAUUAUUAUUUGAGUUAAAAAGGAAAUAUAUACAUUGAUUAUUUCUUUUAUUGGUAAAACAAUUGAUUUAUUUACAGAAGUUCAAUUCUAAUUCAUUAUUGUUUGAAUUUAUUUUAAAGUUUAAGGGACCCAAGGAACUAAGUAACAAAUACAGUUACAUAGAACAAGUUGAAGUAAGUAAAUAAGAACACUUAUCUCACAAUAUUUGAUAAACCAAAGUUUAUUCAUACGAACUCAGAGCGCACCAUUAUCUAUCUAUAUAGAAAGGGAAAAAAGCGCUACAAAAUAAAAAUACUUGUGGAAACACCCUAUAUGCUGUGCUCUAACCCUGUAUAUUUAAGAAACUUAAAGAUAGCUUUGCUACAGGGUCCCCGCGGGUCCUUAAAAAGUCUUGAAAUGUCUUAAAUACAAUUUUCGAUUUUUAAGGUCUGAAAAUGUCUUGAAUCCUGGAAUUUUCCAUAUGAAUGUCUUAAAUUUCAUGUGGGGUCUUAAAUUUCAUGUCCGACUCGUCAUUUUUAUUUAUUUUUUCAACCGCAAUUUGACCAGCACAACAUUUGGGGGCAGCACUUCGUGGGUGCAACCUGCAUCAUACCAUAUGUCACAUACGAGUAAGUGAUUGAUGAACGCGUAGCGCUGAUGGUUCGCCACCACGGCAUUUUGCGAAAUCGCAAGCAUGGGCAAAGACGAUAAAGCUGUGGACAAGACCAUGAUUGUCAGGUCUCGCUAUCUUGGUUCUCAGUUUUUGAGCACCUCAAUGGCAGAAGACUAGCUGGAGCACUUUAAGGAGGGCACCAAGGAACUUAAUUUAAGGAACAUGCUUUCUGUGUCAAUGGAUGGACCCACAGUAAAUUGGAAAGUCAUGGAUCUCCUACAACUGGAACAUGCAAUAAAUUUCUGAUCCUGA